UACGUAGGUGGCAAGCGUUGUCCGGAUUUACUGGGCGUAAAGAGCGCGCAGGCGGUCGAUUUAGUCGCGUGUGAAAGCCCCCGGCUCAACUGGGGAGGGUCACGCGAUACUGAUCGACUCGAAGGCAGGAGAGGGUAGUGGAAUUCCCGGUGUAGUGGUGAAAUGCGCAGAUAUCGGGAGGAACACCAAUUGCGAAGGCAGCUCGCUGGGACGUUACUGACGCUGAGACGCGAAAGCGUGGGGAGCAAACAGG
rnacentral:rRNA from 1 species